rnacentral:rRNA from 1 species
GAUGAACGCUAGCGGGAGGCUUAAUACAUGCAAGUCGAACGGUAAGGUCCACUUCGGUGGAUACACGAGUGGCGAACGGGUGAGUAACGCGUACACAACCUACCUUCAAGAACGGGAUAGCCCUGGGAAACUGGGAUUAAUACCGUAUAGUACUACGAGAUUGAUGAGAUUGUAGUUAAAGUUAUGCGCUUGAAGAUGGGUGUGCGUUAGAUUAGCUAGUUGGUGAGGUAAUGGCUCACCAAGGCGACGAUCUAUAGGGGGCGUGAGAGCGUGGACCCCCACACGGGUACUGAGACACGGACCCGACUCCUACGGGAGGCAGCAGUAAGGAAUAUUGGACAAUGGGCGCAAGCCUGAUCCAGCCAUCCCGCGUGCAGGAAGACGGCCCUAUGGGUUGUAAACUGCUUUUGUACAGGAAGAAACCCCAGGAUUUAUCUUGGGCUGACGGUACUGUAAGAAUAAGCACCGGCUAACUCCG